rnacentral:lncRNA from 1 species
CAUCACAGUAACACUGAGUACUUCUGCUCUGUCACGCCUCGCUGGCUUGCUCAGAACAGCAAGACGCUAGGAAAGCUCCACUCAGCAGUUAAAACUCACAAGUUGAAGAAACCCGAAAGGUCGAAUCCGUCCACUGAGCUGUUGAGCAUUUAUGGAUGAUUUGUGGUGUGGAAGCUCACAGUGGGGAAUCGACAAGACAGUCCUUCAUAUCCACAGCCUGAAAGCGCUCUCCUCUGCUGCUACAGUGACAAAUAUACCAGAGCUGAAUGGACAGGAAAGAUUCCUGGGUUCAAGGAACAUGAGUCCAAGGACAACCAUGCAACAUCCCAAACAUUGCCAUCUACCAUGAAAGGUUGAAUAUACUGAUGAGCAAAUAUGAAGAACCCCAGGUCAGAAGUCAGCAGUCUGACUAUUAUUCCUAUUCCCAGAUUACAAGGCACUUAACUCACUAGGAUGCAAAGUCCUUUCUUCACCUUUGAAUGAAGACUCUAACAUUGAGCAUUGGGUAGGAUUAUGGAUGCAAAGCAUGGACAUGGUGCCUGGCAUCCAGCAGAUGUUUAAUAAAUAAUGGCUCCUUUUAUUUCCUCCACUACAAGGUAAGAAAUUAACUUCAGUUGCUUUUUC